AGUGGUACUUCGAAAUAAAAUGUAACCAUUUGAAAUUGUCUUAUUUGUAGCCAUAAACAAAUCAUUAACAGUUGAUCGUGUUAUUUUACAAAUCUUAGCUGGAUAACCCCGGACUAUAGUGGGUCAGACUCAGACCUCGAAGAGUAGGCUACACAGUAAUCUUUUUUUUUUUUUUUUGCCGAGUAAUCAUGUGGCUGGUGGCUGAAAUCCUGUGAAAGUCAUGGGACGCACAUAAUGCAGUCGAGUCUCCCACAGCCUGUGCCACCUAGUCUUCAGUCCCUUACAUGAACUGAAAGAAAAACAAGACGCUUUUAUUGAUUAUUUCUGAUGAAGAGUAACGUUCAAGCUACUUUACCUGCAGUGUAGCGCUCAAUUAAAGUUGUAUUUAUUUAUUUAUGAUGAAGUAAUGAUGUAAUUAUUUUUAAUGACAUGACAAGGUGUAGGUUAUUAUUCACACAUCGACUUCCUGAAUAUUUUCCCGUGAUAUAUUUAGGACAAUAAAGAAGCGAAGAAAAGAAAACAACAACAACAACAAACAAGAGUCUUUUGUGUGCUUUUCUACAGGAUACAAUCCCCUCCCCGCCCCCGUCGACUUGAAACACACACCGGAUUAAAUGGGAGCGGCUUGAGGCGCGCGCGGGCUGCUGGGUCUCCAAAGCAACGUCGAGAAACGACAAUAAACUGUGCUACACCGACGCAUCGGCUCUGUAUUCUGUCUUCAUCAUGUCGUCCGGAAAGAUGGGGUUGUAUCGCUCGCCACCGCGAGACUUCAGCAACCUCUUUCAGACAUGUAGCUCUAAUAUCCAAAAAAUAACACACAACACCGGCCAAAUCAAAUCCAUGCUGUUCCAGCUUGGUAGCAGACCAGACACUCCUGAACUUCAGGACAGACUUCAGCAGAUGCAGCAUUACACAAAUCAGCUAGCCAAAGAGACCAACAAGCACCUGAAAGAACUGGGUUCUUUACCUCUACCUCAGUCCCCUUCAGAACAGCGGCAGCAGAGGAUCCAGAAGGACCGGCUGAUGAACGACUUCUCAGCAGCCCUUAACAACUUCCAGGUGGUUCAACGUCGAGCAGCUGAGAGGGAGAGAGAGUCCAUGGCCAGGGCUCGAGCUGGCUCACGCUUCCUGGUUGAAGAAAGCAACCAAGAUGAGCAACUUGUGACUUUUGAAAAGAAUGAAGACUUGGGGCUGUUCCAGAGUCAGGUUGAAGAGGAGCCCAUUACAGAAGAGGACUUGGCGCUGAUCAAGGAGAGGGAAACCAACAUCCGGCAACUGGAGGCAGAUAUCAUGGACGUGAACCAGAUUUUCAAAGAUUUGGCGGUUAUGAUUCAUGACCAGGGCGAUAUAAUAGAUAGCAUAGAGGCUAAUGUGGAGAGUUCUGAGGUGCAUGUGGAGCGCGGGACUGAACAACUGCAGCGUGCUGCCUACUACCAGAGAAAAUCACGCAAGAGGAUGUGUAUUCUGGCUUUAGUGCUUUCCUUAGUGGUGACUAUCUUUGCCAUUAUUAUUUGGCGAGCUAUUAAAUAAGGUGACAUCACACAUUUGAAUUUGAUGCACUUUAAGAUAUCCAGUGGUGACUGGCUGGUGAGUGUUUUGUUUGUGUAUGGAAAUUAACUACAAAUAAUUGCUUUUAUUAUUUAGAACAUCCAUAUUUACAGUAAAUAUUGACAGCAUCUUGCAUGUCCAGUAUUGCUUAUUACAUAUUUUAUAGGGCAAGUUGAGUCUUGUGCAUUUUCCAACUAUUAUGCAAAAUAGUAUGAGGGGUGACAAUUUAUUGAUAAUGGAUUUGGUGAACAAACAUGUGGUUGAUUACAAUGCAAGUGAAUGAAACAGUGAUAGAAAUACAAUUUGAUUAAAACUUCAGGUUUUAUAAAACGAGCUACAUUUUGCUAUUAUUUGAUCAUUUGGCAAGGGUAUGUUUUGUUACUUUAUUGGAAGUAACAAAAAUGUUUAAAUGAUGGAAUGAUGCAGAGAUUUUUUUAAGGUAAAUGAUUACUGCUCAGUUCAUGCUUUUGAUUACCCAUUAUAAUUGUUUGUUGUUUAUCAAAAUUAUGAUAAUAUUCAAUAGUGAACAACAGGUAAAUGGUAAAUAUGGCUAAUGUUUUUAGAAAAUGUUCACUGCUCUGAUCUAAUCACUGUUUUUCACUUUUAUUUUCAAUUGAAUAAUGUUUAUUUUUGUAGACACACAUACAUACAUACAUACAUGCAUCAAAGAACUGUCAUCCCUACAUAAUUUAGCCAGUGUAGAUGUACAAACUACCAAAUUAAAGCUGACAGUCUGUUCUUUAAUGUCAUUUAUGGUUUCAUUUCUAAUCUGUUGUGCAGGGGUACAGAAUUAACAACAAAUCUGUGUCAUUGUCCUGAUGUAUAUUGCUCUAAUGAAGGUGUGGCACAUAUUGUACAGGGUCGUGGUGGAACCAGUCUAUCCCAGGAACUCUAGGAGUGAGGUGGGAAUAAACCCUCAAUGGAAUGCAAGUCCAUCUUCUGGCACCGUGCACACACAUUCACAUAAUUCACCUAUUGGCAUGAUUUUGGAAGAAGGGAGAAAACUGGAUAACCUGGAGGAAACCCACACAGACAUGGAGAAACCAUGCAGAACUCCACAGAGACAGUCCCCUGGCUCCCGGAUCAAACUUGGGACCCUGGAGCUGUGAGGCAACAAUGCUGUGUCACCGCACUGCCCUUCAUUAUAAAGCGAGUGAUAGCGUGCAAGAGCAAGUAAGGGAGGGGAUAGCCUGUCUAUUGUGCUCUUGCAAAUAAAGUGAGAUAUUUUAUAUACAUAUAUAAGUGCAUGUUGUCUCUGCGGGGGAAGAGACACUUUUUAUUUUAACCACUAGGUGGCAUGGAAUAUACAGAAAUAAGAUCUUCAUAGAACUAUAUUUACAAAUAUGCUUAUGUAAAUGUACAUAACAAGCAUAGCCAUUAAAUAAUUGUAGCCAUUCUGAACUUUGCCAAAAUAAAUUGUGUUGUUUGUUGGGGACAUUAGGACGAGGACCUGGCUGAUACAUUUUGCUGAUUGCUAGAGAAAAUACUGCUAUUUUUGUCAGCAGAUUGUUUUUAAUUAUUUGAAUGCUUAUUGAUUUGAAGGCUGAUUACACUUCAUAUGUUGUUGCAGUUGUAUUAAAUAAACUCUGCAAAAAAAAAAAAAAUGUACUCUCACAUUCAACUGCUUUUAUUUCCAGCAAAUUUCUUAAUGUGUAAAUAUUUAUACUAACAAAAAGGUUCAACAACUGAACAUUUAACAAAAAGAAAUGGAAUAAUGAGUCCCUGAACAGUGGGGUAGCACUCUCUUAGGCAUCUUACAUUGCGGACAUUGCAGUUUAUUGCUCUGGCCACAUCUGCAGUCCUCAUACUUCCCUGCAGCAGGCCUAUGGCAUGUUCACCCUAGGCAUCUUUAUUCUGGUGUUUUUCGGAGUCAGUAGAAAGGCCUCUUUAGUGUCCUAAGUUGUAAGCUGUGACCUUAAUUGCCUAAUGCCUGUAAACCGUUCGUGUCUUAAGGACUUUUCCACUGGUGCAUGUGCAAUAAUUGUUUAUGGUUCAUUGAACAAGAAUGAAAAACAUUGUUUAAACCCUUUCCAAUAAA